rnacentral:rRNA from 1 species
UACGGAGGGUGCAAGCGUUAAUCGGAAUUACUGGGCGUAAAGGGCGUGUAGGCGGAACGAUUAGCGAGGGGUGAAAUCCCGGGGCUCAACCCCGGAACUGCCUCCAAAACUGCUAGUCUAGAGUUCGAGAGAGGUGAGUGGAAUUCCGAGUGUAGAGGUGAAAUUCGUAGAUAUUCGGUGGAACACCAGUGGCGAAGGCGACUUACUGGCUCGAUAUUGACGCUGAGGUGCGAAAGCGUGGGGAGCAAACAGG